CGGACGGGUGAGUAAUGUCUGGGAAACUGCCUGAUGGAGGGGGAUAACUACUGGAAACGGUAGCUAAUACCGCAUAAUGUCGCAAGACCAAAGAGGGGGACCUUAGGGCCUCUUGCCAUCGGAUGUGCCCAGAUGGGAUUAGCUAGUAGGUGGGGUAACGGCUCACCUAGGCGACGAUCCCUAGCUGGUCUGAGAGGAUGACCAGCCACACUGGAACUGAGACACGGUCCAG
rnacentral:rRNA from 1 species